rnacentral:rRNA from 1 species
AGGCAGCAGUGGGGAAUAUUGCGCAAUGGACGGAAGUCUGACGCAGCGACGCCGCGUGAGCGAUGAAGGCCUUCGGGUCGUAAAGCUCUGUUCUUGGGGACGAAAGGAUGACGGUACCCAAGGAGCAAGCCCCGGCUAACUACGUGCCAGCAGCCGCGGUAAUACGUAGGGGGCGAGCGUUGUCCGGAAUUACUGGGCGUAAAGGGCGUGUAGGCGGCUGAAUAAGUCAGGUGUGAAAGGCCCCGGCUUAACCGGGGUAUUGCACAUGAAACUGUUCGGCUUGAGUGCAGGAGAGGGAAGUGGAAUUCCUAGUGUAGCGGUGAAAUGCGUAGAUAUUAGGAGGAACACCAGUGGCGAAGGCGACUUUCUGGACUGUAACUGACGCUGAGGCGCGAAAGCGUGGGGAGCAAACAGGAUUAGAUACCCUGGUAGUCCACGCUGUAAACGAUGGAUACUAGGUGUGGGCAGUUCACACUGUC